rnacentral:misc_RNA from 1 species
GUAGGUGAACCUGCGGAAGGAUCAUUAGAAAGUGAAGGGCCUCAGGGGCCGGCUAAAAAACCUGAACGACCCCCUACUGGAAGUGCCCCCGGCGACGUCAUGCUUCCCAUGACAUAAUGCCGCGCGUGGUGCCAACAGUUUACCCUCUGUAAAAACCCUUUGUUGCUUCGGCAGCGCCUCCCGGCCCCUAAAGGCCGCGGGGGGGUCAGCCUGCCGGUGGCACGCUUUGAAAACCCUUCAGUGAAAACAA